UACGUAGGGUGCAAGCGUUGUCCGGAAUUAUUGGGCGUAAAGAGCUCGUAGGCGGUCUGUCGCGUCGGCUGUGAAAACCCGGGGCUCAACCCCGGGCCUGCAGUCGAUACGGGCAGACUAGAGUGCGGUAGGGGAGACUGGAAUUCCUGGUGUAGCGGUGAAAUGCGCAGAUAUCAGGAGGAACACCGGUGGCGAAGGCGGUUCUCUGGGCCUUACCUGACGCUGAGGAGCGAAAGCGUGGGGAGCAAACAGG
rnacentral:rRNA from 1 species